rnacentral:lncRNA from 1 species
GUUGGGAAAAUAGUCCAUCAGCUAAUACACAAGCCAGAUGCUUCCACUGGCAUCCUGAGAUUCCAUGCAGCCGCGGAAACACUGACAAAUGUUUUGCUUUCAGCAACCUGUAAUAUGGGGGGUUCUGAUCACAUUCGAUGUUCAGAACAAGACAAUUUUUGUGUCCGAAUAUUGCUCAUUUUAAUCAAUUGUUUCAAGAAAAUGAUGUUUACUAUUCGGAAAGAAAUAAAACUUAGGCUAGAUCAG